rnacentral:ncRNA from 2 species
GCCUGUUCAAUGGGGUGCCAAAAAUUGGCUGAGAUGAUACCCAUGCACCGAGUGCAAUACCUGAUCCGGAUAAUGCUGGCGUAGGGAUUGAAAACUUAUCAUCU